GACGAACCGAGCGAACGUUAUUCGGAAUCACUGGGCUUAAAGGGCGCGUAGGCGGGCGGCCAAGUCAGGGGUGAAAGCCCCCAGCUCAACUGGGGAAGUGCCUCUGAUACUGGUCAUCUCGAGGGAGAUAGGGGCGUGCGGAACUUCCGGUGGAGCGGUGAAAUGCGUAGAUAUCGGAAGGAACACCGGUGGCGAAAGCGGGCGCGCUGGAUCUCUUCUGACGCUGGAGGCGCGAAAGCCGGGGAGCGGAACGGG
rnacentral:rRNA from 1 species